UGGGGAAUCUUGCACAAUGGGGGCAACCCUGAUGCAGCGACGCCGCGUGAGCGAUGAAGCCCUUCGGGGCGUAAAGCUCUUUCGACCGGAACGAUAAUGACGGUACCGGGAGAAGAAGCUGCGGCUAACUACGUGCCAGCAGCCGCGGUAAUACGUAGGCAGCAAGCGUUGUUCGGAGUUACUGGGCGUAAAGAGUGCGUAGGCGGUUUUCUAAGUUCGGUGUGAAAUCUCCCGGCUUAACUGGGAGGGUGCGCCGAAGACUGGGAAGCUGGAGUGUGGGAAAGGCAGGCGGAAUUCCUGGUGUAGCGGUGAAAUGCGUAGAUAUCAGGAGGAACACCGGCGUUGUAGACGGCUUGCUAGACCAUAACUGACGCUGAGGCACGAAAGCGUGGGUAGCAAACA
rnacentral:rRNA from 1 species